rnacentral:lncRNA from 1 species
AGCCUUUGAAGUCAUGGCACCUAUAAUUUCCUAACUAUAAAAAGGUACCUUUGUGUGUGUGUGUGUCAUACCUGGAGGUGCCAGGAGUUCAGCCCCGCCCAGCCCCGCAGUGAGGAGGGGGUGCCUGGGCUGCACGGAGCCCUGGAUCUGGCAGGGAUCGAUUAGUGAUGGUUUAAAGGUGGUUUUCCUCUCCUCCCUGCACCUAAUAGCUUGUUUACCCAGGGAUAUUAGGGUGGUUAAUUCAUAUUUAUUAACAGGGAUCUAAUGUGGUUAAAAUAAUCAAGCUGACAUCUGCAGUGGUGGGAUGGGCCAGGAGCAGAACUCAGAAUGAGCUCACUGCCCCUGCCCAGCUCUCCUGGGGAAGCACAAACUUUAUAAAUGGUGGCCCAGCUGUCACAUUGCAGUGAGGAUCGUCCUCCCCAGCGUGUCCCAGACGCUGCAGUGCUCUCCCUGCUGCCCCAGCCCUUCACUGCUCAGCCACCGAGCCCGGGGACACGCCAGGGCCACGGUGACAAACGCAGCCCUGCCGAGGAGCAGUCUGGCUGUCAGUCGAGAUUAAAUCCUCUGUCAGCACAGAGCAGGAGGCACCCGGCUGAAGGAACCUCUCCCUCAGGUGUGAGAGCAGCAGGCACCACCGGGAUGGCAGGAGAACCCCCUUGGGCAUUUGCAGCCGGACGGAUGUGGGGUCCUGGGGUUCCCCCCACCACAGCUCUGCUCCCUGACAGCUGCUGCUGUGAUUUAUUGGAGAUUUCAGCUCCAAUCUGUCCGGGCAGUGGGGAUAUUUCAGUCCCUGGAGGCAGCAAGGGCCCCUUGGCCAGGUGGUCAUGGAGAAGGAGAGCAGCAGCUCCAGGACUGCAGGUGACCCCCCCAGAAAGGGACUGCAAGCACUGGAGGCUCCAUCCCUCCAUCCCCCUGCUCUGGAGGCUUUUCCACAACCUCUCUCUCCUGUUGAUCUUCACCUUUCCCGUCAUUUUCCAGCCUCAGUCUUUGUCCUGGCUAAUUUAUCCCCUUUUUUGUCCUUGUGCCAAUGUUGUCCUUUCACUCAGCCAGCUCAUCCCCUGCCUGUUGUUUACCCACCCCUGGCUGUUUGUGGGAGCCAUCAUUUCCCCGCUCAUGGAUAAACAGCCUGAGCUUGGAUGGUUUGCAGCUCCUCCCUGGCACCACUGCCAUGGGACAAAUCCUCAUUUCUGCAGCUCCAGCAGCAAAGGAGGUGAAUUUUGGGGUGGGAAGGGCCCUGGGAAGGGCAGUGUGGCAGCUCCUGCCAGCACCAGGGUGAGCCUGGCACACAGACUGGCACGAGGAGGAGAUGGGACACUCCGUGCUCAGAGCUUGGGAAGUUUCUUGGCUGGUAGUUUCUUGGUUUCUUGGCUCCUCAGCAGGACAAACAGGUUUGGUGGGUGGUGUGGAAAAGAAGGAGGGAUAAAAGAAUCCCAACCCAGCAGCUGUCAGUGUCCCCUGCUGUGUCCCCAGAGAUGUCCCCAUGACAUUUCUUUCUCCCAGGGCUUUCCAUGA